AAACUGAUCAAACCAACUAUCUAACAAAAUCACUACAACUACUACACUAGACCUAGAUCUACACAAACACACUACAAUAAAUUAGUCUAGUGUAGUAGUUGUAGUGAUUUUGUUAGAUAGUUGGUUUUAUCAGUUAGUGUUAGAUAGUUGGUUUGGUUAGUUUGUUGGUGUUUGUAGUGGCGUAGAUUUAGAGGGUUUUAGUUAGUUGCUGGGUUCAGUUGUGGUUAGUGUAUAUAUUAUAUUUUUUAUUAUUGAUUUAUUUUUUUGUAUGUUAAUAAAGUUUUGUUUUGUUUUAUUUA